rnacentral:lncRNA from 1 species
UUUCGAGAACAAAAGAACACGUUACCUUGUUUUAAGAUUGAAAUGCCUCCCUUUUCUUCUUUGUCUUUUUGUAUGAAGUUUUUAAAGAGAAAAUCGCAAUAUUUCUAUCGAGUCCAAAAAGCGCAUUCUAGGGUCUUUUGAAAUUGGCCCAAGGCCUUUUUGAGCAUCAAUCGCCUAUUUAAUAAUGGUUAUCAAGGCCCAUUGUCACGGAGUUAUAUCUUUAACUCGUGUGCGGGCUUAAAUCACCGUCUAAGUCUUUCUUGGCUGAAUCUUGGUCAUUCUAGUGUCCCCAAGUUGCUGGAAAAAACGGGAUGUUCCGAAGUCUUACGAGUGGCUCCUGAAGCGACUAGAUGGCCCCGGAAAGUUCUAGAAUGCUAAAAUUUUAUGCUGAAUUUUAGUGGCGUGACACCAUGCUAGUGAUGGUACAAUACCGUUUGGACUAUGAAAAUGUGAUAUGCAUAAAACAUGAGUUGCUAUGUUUCAUGUUCAACCCAACUUUGAAUCAGAUGUAUUGCAUUGAAUUGAAGUUCUUUUUGAUAUAUUGUAAUCAUGUUGUGGUUUUCAAGAAUAUAAGCUUGUACAAAUAAAGAUUAGGUUAGAGUGAAAUCAUGAUGAUCAUUCUUUCUUAAUGUGAAAUCAAGUAUUGGUCCU